rnacentral:lncRNA from 1 species
GCGCAGUGUCCGGAGCGGGCUGGGGGGAGAGAGCCCGAGAGCAGGGUUCGGUGCCUUUUCCUCUGUCCCCAGCCGGUGCCCAGAGCCCCCCUCCCCUUCCUCCCCACCCCCUCCCCUCCCCAACCCUGCCCUCCCCCUUGUCCCGGGAUCGCUCCGUCGCACCCACCAUGAUGGAAGACGACGGGCAGCCCCGGACUCUACACACACAAGCUAAGACAUAUGGUUCUAUCUUCAGAAAACAAUAUGGUGUUUAGAGCCUAGGUAGCAAUUAUAUAUUUAAAGACUUGGAUCUUUAGCUUGACUAUUUCAUAACCAGAGCAGAAAGAAAGUGAAGUGUAGAAGCUAUAAUUUGGAACGAAUAAAGAUGUCAUUUCAAUGAACUACCAAGAGAUGAUCUUACUAGAUACGUAGGUAACCUUUCCAGAGAUGUGACAGAAGUCCUUAUACUUCAGUUGUUCAGUCAGAUUGGACCCUGUAAAAGCUGU